rnacentral:rRNA from 1 species
CCUACGGGGGGCAGCAGUGAGGAAUAUUGGACAAUGGGCGCAAGCCUGAUCCAGCCAUGCCGCGUGCAGGAAGACUGCCCUAUGGGUUGUAAACUGCUUUUAUACAGGAAGAAGCGUUUCUACGUGUAGAGAUUUGACGGUACUGUAAGAAUAAGGAUCGGCUAACUCCGUGCCAGCAGCCGCGGUAAUACGGAGGAUCCAAGCGUUAUCCGGAAUCAUUGGGUUUAAAGGGUCCGUAGGUGGAUAAUUAAGUCAGAGGUGAAAUCCUGCAGCUCAACUGUAGAAUUGCCUUUGAUACUGGUUAUCUUGAGUUAUUAUGAAGUAGUUAGAAUAUGUAGUGUAGCGGUGAAAUGCAUAGAUAUUACAUAGAAUACCAAUUGCGAAGGCAGAUUACUAAUAAUCAACUGACACUGAUGGACGAAAGCGUGGGGAGCGAACAGGAUUAGAUACCCUGGUAGUCCACGCCGUAAAUGAUGGAUACUAGCUGUUCGGACUUCGGUCUGAGUGGCUAAGCGAAAGUGAUAAGUAUCCCACCUGGGGAGUACGUUCGCAAGAAUGAAACUCAAAGGAAUUGACGGGGGCCCGCACAAGCGGUGGAGCAUGUGGUUUAAUUCGAUGCAACGCGAAGAACCUUACCUGGGUUUGACAUGUAUGUAGUAGGGAUCCGAAAGGUGACCGACCCUCGGGAGCAUACACAGGUGCUGCAUGGCUGUCGUCAGCUCGUGUCGUGAGAUGUUGGGUUAAGUCCCGCAACGAGCGCAACCCUCGUCGCUAGUUACAAGUGUCUAGCGAGACUGCCGGUUUAACGCCGGAGGAAGGCGGGGAUGACGUCAAGUCAGCAUGGCCUUUAUAUCCAGGGCUACACACACGCUACAAUGGUCGGUACAAUGGGUUGCCAAGUCGCGAGGCGGAGCUAAUCCCAUCAAAGCCGGUCUCAGUUCGGAUUGCAGGCUGCAACUCGCCUGCAUGAAGUCGGAGUUGCUAGUAACCGCGCGUCAGCAUAGUGCGGUGAAUACGUUCCCGGGCCUUGUACACACCGCCCGUC